rnacentral:rRNA from 1 species
AUGGUCGCCAUUGCUGCAAGCUGGCAGGUCGGCACACAGCCGGAGGAUGGCGAUGUCCCAAUGGAGGACGCAGCCGAUGACGAGCUGGCGCCACCCUCCUCGUCUGCCAGCCUCCUCGUCCACGCCACCCUCGCCAGUGCAUUGCACCAUUAUCAUCGGCGAGGCCCAUGCCAUUACUUGUACAUGGUGCGGGAGGAGCAGUUCCGGGAGGCGCAGGUCGAUGCCACCUACAACCACCAACUCCUCCAGGAGCACCUGCAAGAGGAGGAGCAGCUCGCCGCCGGCAGGGCGGUCGCACGGAGCGCGGACAUGGUGGAGUAG